CAAAGCUCAUCCAUAGUUGCUAUGACGUCUUCGUCUUCAUGGGUUCCGGCAAGAAACCAUCAUGCUUAGGACAGAUUGAAGUCUGGCAGGUGAAUAAGUGCUCAAGGCGGCGCCUGCAGCACGUGACAACUAUGACGUCGGGUUGCCAAGGGGUAUGUCACAUGCCCUUGGAUCUGUGAGAACACCAGCCUUCCAGUCUCAACUAUUUGGAACAGUUACAAUAGAUUUGUUCAUAUAAAUCAUACUCAAAUGAAAUUCGCAGAAACCGUUCAAAUCCAUAUUCUAUUAAUGGAUCAGUAUUGUGUGGUCAGCUGACAUUUCAGCGUCCCUGAACCACUGAUCAGCUUCACAUAACCAGUAGUACCAUAUUACGCAGAAGACAAAACUGAUCCAUGGUCAGUAUAAGAGGAGUUAAGUUUGCAUCACGAACAUUCUUUAUUACCUUGAACAAACUACAAUGAUAUCUAAA